rnacentral:rRNA from 1 species
GACGAACGCUGGCGGCGUGCUUAACACAUGCAAGUCGAACGGAAAGGCCCAGCUUGCUGGGUACUCGAGUGGCGAACGGGUGAGUAACACGUGGGUGAUCUGCCCUGUACUCUGGGAUAAGCCUGGGAAACUGGGUCUAAUACCGGAUAUGACCUUACAUCGCAUGGUGUUUGGUGGAAAGCUUUUGCGGUUCAGGAUGGGCCCGCGGCCUAUCAGCUUGUUGGUGGGGUAAGGGCCUACCAAGGCGACGACGGGUAUCCGACCUGAGAGGGUGAUCGGCCACACUGGGACUGAGACACGGACCAGACUCCUACGGGAGGCAGCAGUGGCGAAUAUUGCACAAUGGGCGCAAGCCUGAUGCAGCGACGCCGCGUGAGGGAUGACGGCCUUCGGGUUGUAAACCUCUUUCACCAGGGACGAAGCGUGAGUGACGGUACCUGGAGAAGAAGCACCGGCCAACUACGUG